UGAAAACACCAUAAUGAUGAAACAUCAUAAUGAUGUUUCUUUGGUGGAAUUGUUUUUCAUUUCCCCUAACACCCGGAAUUGGUUUUCAAUAUAAGACCAUCAUCUGUAGCUCGAAUCACAAAGUUGUCUUCAUGAAAGUUGUUCUUUAAUUCCUUAACUACAACAUAUCCAAAUUUGAGAGCCAUCAGAUCAGUACAACUCUAGAAAUUCAGGUACGACGAGUGAUUGUUCAUCAUUUGUCUGUCAACACGUCAGACCUGUUGUGAGCUUCAAAAAAUCCAUUUUCUCUUGCUUAGAUCAACAUACUUUCUUCAUCGAAGUUGUUCCUCAGCUUGUGAACUACAACAUAUCCAAAUUUGAGAUCCCUCGGAGCAGUAUAACUCCAGAAAUCCAGGUAUGAUGAAUGACUGGUUAUUAUUUUUCUGUCAACCCGUCAGAUUUGUUGUGAGCUUCGAAACUCCAUUUUCUCUUGUUCAGAUCGGUAUGAUUUCUUCAUUGAAGUUGUUCCUCAUCGUCUCUUUCAUAACAUAUCAAAAAUU
rnacentral:lncRNA from 1 species